rnacentral:misc_RNA from 1 species
UUCAUUGAAGAUCGUCAAGGUGAAAAGGUGAAUUGGAAUUUCAGUAUUCAACCCUCUCAGCUAGUUCGAUUUCCUCAAUUUAAUUUGUUUGAGUUUUCUCCAAUUUCUUAGUUUCUAUGUGAAUAUAGAUUAUUGUAAUUUCAAUUUGUAGGUUAAUUAGAUUGGAUAUGCAGUUGAUGAGUGAUCAAAUCCUGAUUAAGAUAAGGAGAGAACAUCUCCAUAAUUGUAUCUUUGUUAUCAAAACACCACCACUCACUGAUGUAAUCUGCCGUCUCAUCCGGACUGUUUGUUUAUGAAAAUCUAGAUCUCUAUGUCCAUCUCAGUUUCUGGCAACUUAUACUACAUUUCUGCCGUUAUCUUUUCCAAUGACAUGAGGCUUUAGUCUCUCCGGUGGAUGGUUUUAUCGCUCUUCAGUCUCUGGUUGGGAAAAUUUCAGGUUAAGUACCUUAACAAUCGGUCUCCUUUUACUUGUUCUUGGUAAGAUUCAUAACCAGUUGCUGGUUUUAUCACUCAGCUGUGUUUCUGUGGAAGGGGAGCCAUAGGUGAUUAUUGAUGUCUUCGGAGUGCUAACUUGAACCCGAAGUGAUUGCUCUCUGUACU